rnacentral:sRNA from 1 species
UACUUACAAAGAUUUAUGGUCAGACUGA